AGUGGCGGACGGGUGAGUAACGCGUGGGUAACCUGCCCUGUACAGGGGGAUAACAGUCAGAAAUGACUGCUAAUACCGCAUAAGACCACAGCACCGCAUGGUGCAGGGGUAAAAACUCCGGUGGUACAGGAUGGACCCGCGUCUGAUUAGCUGGUUGGUGAGGUAACGGCUCACCAAGGCGACGAUCAGUAGCCGGCUUGAGAGAGUGAACGGCCACAUUGGGACUGAGACACGGCCCAAACUCCUACGGGAGGCAGCAGUGGGGAAUAUUGCACAAUGGGGGAAACCCUGAUGCAGCGACGCCGCGUGAAGGAAGAAGUAUCUCGGUAUGUAAACUUCUAUCAGCAGGGAAGAUAGUGACGGUACCUGACUAAGAAGCCCCGGCUAACUACGUGCCAGCAGCCGCGGUAAUACGUAGGGGGCAAGCGUUAUCCGGAUUUACUGGGUGUAAAGGGAGCGUAGACGGUGUGGCAAGUCUGAUGUGAAAGGCAUGGGCUCAACCUGUGGACUGCAUUGGAAACUGUCAUACUUGAGUGCCGGAGGGGUAAGCGGAAUUCCUAGUGUAGCGGUGAAAUGCGUAGAUAUUAGGAGGA
rnacentral:rRNA from 1 species